CAGAUCACAAACGAUAUACGAGCCGGGGAACUGGUAUUUGCUUCCCUAUGUACUGGAUGAUCUUUAAGAAGGAAAAAUCUUAAUCAGAUUUACACCUUGACUGUCUUCCCUCUGAGGAAUUAGAAGCCUCUGUGUGCCAGAGAGAAGACUGAGAAGCAGGUUCCAUGGGGCUCCAGUCAGGCUAGAAAUGCCGGGAGUGUCACAGAUCUUAGAAGAGAAGCAAAGAGGUCUGGGCAGCCUGUGAGGGACAGGCAGCUGGGUUCCUGGGUCACCGGUCAGCUACAGUGGCAGUGCCAACGCCAGCGGCAGAGGUGGUGGCAUGAGCCUGGUCAGCCAGACAAGAGAGAGACAGGAAUGGAGAACAAGGAGAACAAGCCAAUCCCUGCUUCAGACCAUGCCAGAGCUCCUGCCCACUUCCCUCUGUGAUGGACUGGGACAUAGUGGUGUAAGCCAAAGAAACCAUUCCCUCCCCAUGCUGCUUUUGGCUGGCAUUUCUCACAGCAACAAACCCCAAAAUUGAACGGCAAUUUAAGGAAGGAAGGAUUUGCUUGAUCUAAAAACUCUGAAGGGCGUCCCUGCUUUUCUACUGAUUGGCUGACACAGCCUACAAGAUGAUGGGCUUCACCAUACCGUUUUCACACAUGUGCAUCACUGUAACCAUGAUGCUGUCAGAGGAGCAAUAGAGAACUCCCUGAGGCCCUUGUGGUCAUCAGAUUCCCUGAGCUGGAAGCACAGGUGUUGGCUCAUCACCUGAUAUGUGUGCUGGGAUUCAAACCCAGGGUUUCCAGAAGAGUAGCAAGCCCUCCUAAAUGCCUAGCCAUGUCUCCUGCCCCAAGACGGUGAUUCAUGCUGCAUAGUCAGCUGGCCACAUCAGCAGGAGCUGGGAAUCUCAACCCAAUGAGGUCCAGAAAAGGGCAGUGAGAAAUGAAUUGUGGGAACAUUCUCUGCAUUCGCCGAAAACAAAGAACAGAGUUUGCCCAGGACACCCAACUCUGAGGAGGCUGGAGCUGGCCAGGGUCACAGCUGGUAGGGCCACAGACAGUCAUGGCAGCAUUCUGAGGAGCUGAGUCUCUUCUCAGAAGUAGAGCUGCAGCACAGGCUGGUUUCCCUGGAAAAUGCCUCUGGAACCUUCUCUCAAGCUCUCCACACAUUGUGUUGCCACCAAAGAACAGCCGGGGUAUUAAGUAAAGAUGUGCAUAGGAGGACAAAGAGAAUCUCUCCCUAUGCACAGGGAGCAGAUGAACGGAUCUAGACGUCUGUGAGGUGUGGUUUGUUCAGCAGAAGGCUUAGGUUUGAACUCAUGAGUUCAAGGCCAGUCAGGGACACAGGGUAAGACCUUGUCAGGUAAAAAGAAAUAAAUAAAAAGGAAAAAUAAAAUAAAAUAAAUGGAAAUGAA